CAAGUCAAGGGGGCCCAGCAAUGGGCAACCGGCGAACGGGUGCGUAACACGUGAGCAACCUACCGAACUGUGGGGGAUAGCCGGCCUAACGGCCGAGUAAUACCGCAUACGCUUUCAGUGAGGCAUUUCAUUGAAAGGAAACCUACGGGACAGAUCGAGGGGCUCGCGGCCUAUCAGCUAGUUGGCGAGGUAAUGGCUCACCAAGGCUACGACGGGUAGCUGGUCUGAGAGGAUGGCCAGCCACAUUGGGACUGAGAUACGGCCCAGACUCCUACGGGAGGCAGCAGUGGGGAAUCUUGCGCAAUGGCCUAACGGCUGACGCAGCGACGCCGCGUGUGGGAUGAAGCUCCUCGGAGUGUAAACCACUGUUGCCCGGGACGAAUAGCUCGAUUAAUCGAGCCUGACGGUACCGGGUGAGGAAGCACCGGCUAACUCCGUGCCAGCAGCCGCGGUAAUACGGGGGGUGCGAGCGUUGUCCGGAAUCACUGGGCGUAAAGGGCGCGUAGGUGGUUUGAUAAGGGUGUGGUGAAAGCCCGGGGCUCAACCCCGGGUCUGCCGUGCCGACUGUCAAACUCGAGGGCUGUAGAGGCAGACGGAAUUCCGGGUGUAGCGGUGGAAUGCGUAGAGAUCCGGAGGAAGACCGGUGGCGAAGGCGGUCUGCUGGGCAGUUUCUGACACUGAUGCGCGACAGCGUGGGGAGCAAACAGGAUUAGAUACCCUGGUAGUCCACGCCGUAAACGAUGGGUACUAGGUGCCUGGGGGAGCGACCCUCUGGGUGCCGGCGCUAACGCAGGAAGUACCCCGCCUGGGGAGUACGACCGCAAGGUUGAAACUCAAAGGAAUUGACGGGGGCCCGCACAAGCGGUGGA
rnacentral:rRNA from 1 species